rnacentral:misc_RNA from 1 species
AAAAGAUUCUAAUGAAGAUAUUGUAAGAGUAGUUUUUAGUAAUUGUAUGUAAUGGAAUAGAGUCUUAAUAUGAACGAUAGGCCUUAAUGAAUGGAGAGGCAUUCGCAAUUGAAAGGAUGUAUUGCUUAGUGCUUGCGCUAAGGAAAGAAAGUACAACUUCAACGGGAUCUACAACCGCAGGUAAGGGAACUAGCUAAAAAGAGAAGCAAGGAAACUCGCUGGCGGAGAACUACCACAACCAUUGCUUGG